AAUGACUUUAGACGGUUAAUUUUUUGGAGCACUGAGCUUGCAACCCAUUAGAAUAUUUUGUCCGAGUGCGAAGAGAAAGGCGGCCAUCUUUACGCGACACCCGGUCGGUGUAGAACAGGACAAGCCUUCGGAAAAGGCGGUACAUUUCAGCAGCCUGUUCAGAUAUAUUAUAUGAUUUCCGUGCUUGUUUAGCCAGGCCAAACUGCCUCACUUUAUAAUACUUUACUCUUUUCCAGCCACGCACCGCAUGAUUUAUUUUCGGUUGCUAAGACCUGUGUCAAGCUGAUCCGUGUUUUUGCUGCGUCUUCCUUUUUUUUUCUUGUAAACUCAAACUGAACGCAAACAUUUACAUUACGUGCGUAUUGUAUUCAUUUAGCAGACGCUUUUCUCCAAAGCGACGUACAUCUGAGAAAAUACAAUUUGUGCAUUACAUUAAGGAGACACAGCUGCAGAUGUGUGGUUCUAGUAGUUUCCUUCACCGUAUGAACCGACGUUCGUCACACAAGUAGCUGCAUAAACUUCACCGGAAUUCGUCGAUUCUAGUAGUUUUCUUGAGAUACCUAAACGUUUACAUACACUCAUAAAACCACUGUCAUCGCACGCUAAAAUUUGUAGCAGUGGUCAUCUUCACUCGUACCCAGACCAGACCUAGUAUUUUUGCUAAUACUUCUCGUUACUAUUUGUGGGGGGAGCGCGAGUGGCGCAGUAGUUCUUAAAACGGGACAGAGGGCAGCGGCCCUCCCUUCGUUCGUCUUCCUUCCAUUUCAGUCCCGUUUCAUUCUACACGUAUGCGGGAAAGUUCUGCGGCGGUGUGUUUGUAGCAGGGUGGCGACGAGAGAAACCCCGCCUGCGGCAGCGGACACACACACACGCAGUGUCAGAACACCUGCACACGUACUGUACUUCACACACGCGGAGAAACCGCCCCCCCACCGCACUGUGACUGUGCUUGACGCGUUACUCGAAACGCACCUGACUUGCAGAAGCAGUUCCGUCCGCGGAAACGCUGCGUUACGUCCGGCCUUGUGACCCCAUGAGGAUGCGUCACCGCAGUAACUGACAAGAGGUGGAAGAGUUACCAAGACAACAGCUCAUAACACUGGCAUAAUAUGCUAGAUAGAGUUGCACUGUGAACUUGGAAGUUUCCACAAUUACAGUUUUUGCCCCCGGGGAGCACAUUUUUGAUUUUUUUACAGGAAAGGCU
rnacentral:lncRNA from 1 species